GGCCUUUGUCUCUCGCUCCCACCAGAGCUUGGAAUCCGUCUCUGCUCUUCUGCAUUCUCCACCUCGGGAGCCCCUGGGGACUCUGUGACGGCCUCUGUUGCCCUGUGAUCUGCAGGUCCGGAGAGACGCACAGCUAAGAUGUCAGGACAUCCUGGAAGCUGGGAAAGGGUCUUGCCAUCUCUAAGCUGGACCUGGUGACCUUUUUGGAGGGAAAGAAAGAGCCCUGGACUGUGAAGAGUGAGGAGACCAUAGCUGCACAGCCAGAUGUAUAAUCUCAUCCCUGAACAUUUCUGAUGGUGUGAUUAUGACAUGUGACUUUAUCUGGCAACAGAGUGAGUUGUUGCUCCCGCCUGAGCCCAGCCCCCAGAAAGGAUUGUGACAUAUCGUUGGACCCAGAAUUGAGGUGGAAUUGUGACAUAUAACUUGGCCAAGCACACAGAUGUAAUGGUGUGGUGACUCUCAUACCUAGAACUGGGACCUGUGCAGGAUUGUUAAUUCAUUACUGGACAUUCCUGUGGGUGUGAUUGUUACAUAUGCCUAUGUUCAGCACCCGAGUGAUUUGAUUUUGCUGCCUGGUCUCAGUCCAAAUGUAAGAUUGUGAUUUAUCGCUGAAUCCAGCACCUCGGUGAUUUGACUCUCCCUUUUUUUGUGGGAGGGAUCCUGCAAAUUUUGGGUAUUGUCAAUUAUUGCUGAAUCCUGUACCCAUGUUAUGACUCUCCCAAAUGUGCCUUACCUGUUGUGGCACAAUAUAUCACAUUAGACAUUGUUAAAUAUUGUUGGGUUCAACACCUGGGUGAUGGAUGUAACUUUUUUUCUGGGCCUGCCUACAGGGGACCUUGUGACAUAACUCAAUGCCCAUCAUCAUGGUAAUGUUACUCUCUUCUCCUGCCUGAUCUCUGCUCACAGAGAAAUUGUGACACAUCACUGGCCUAGCAUCUAGGUGAUGUGACUCUCCUCUUUUUUUCAGGCUCUGCAUAUUUGGGUAUUGUGACAUAUUGCUGAACUCAACACCUAAGGGAUGGGAGUCUCCUACCUAGGCCCUUCCUACAGGGGACAUUGUGACAUGUCUCUGCAUUCCUCAUCCAGGAGAUGUGACUCUCCUUUUCUGCCUACACCCUGCCUACACAGAAAGUUGUGGCAUAUUGCUGUGGUCAGCAACCAGAUGAUAUAUUUCUCCUGCCUGGGUCUUUAUUACAGGAAAGAUGAUUGACAUAUUACUGGGCCCAGCAUCCAGAUGAUGUGACUCUCUUCUUCUGUUGGUCCUUGCUUACAGGGAAACUGUAGCAUAUUGCUACACCCAACACCUAGCUUAUGUGAUUCUUCUUUUAGGUUUGCCUUCAGGGAACAUUGUGACAUAUUGCUGGGCCCUGCACUGAUAAUUUGUGACUCUUCUGCCUGUGAUUUGCCCACUUGGGGCAUUGUGACAUAUUGCUGGGUUUAACACUCAGGUGAUGUAACUUUUAUGCCUAGGCCUUGCUUACAGGAGGCAUUUUGAAAUGUCUUUGUGGCUGGGCAUGGUGGCUCAUGUCUGUAAUCCCAGCGCUUGGGGAGGCCAAGGUGGGCAGAUCACAAAGUCAGGAGUUCGAGACCAGCCUGGUCAACAUGGUGAAAACCUGUCUCUACUAAAACAAAACAAAACAAAACAAAACAAAACAAA
rnacentral:lncRNA from 1 species